rnacentral:rRNA from 1 species
UACGUAGGGUGCAAGCGUUGUCCGGAAUUAUUGGGCGUAAAGAGCUCGUAGGCGGUCUGUCACGUCGGCUGUGAAAACCCGAGGCUCAACCUCGGGCCUGCAGUCGAUACGGGCAAACUAGAGUACUGCAGGGGAGACUGGAAUUCCUGGUGUAGCGGUGAAAUGCGCAGAUAUCAGGAGGAACACCCGGUGGCGAAGGCGGGUCUCUGGGCGAGUAACUG